rnacentral:rRNA from 1 species
GCAGCCUGAUGCAGCGACGCCGCGUGAGGGAUGACGGCCUUCGGGUUGUAAACCUCUUUCAGUAGGGAAGAAGCGAAAGUGACGGUACCUGCAGAAGAAGCGCCGGCUAACUACGUGCCAGCAGCCGCGGUAAUACGUAGGGCGCAAGCGUUAUCCGGAAUUAUUGGGCGUAAAGAGCUCGUAGGCGGUUUGUCGCGUCUGCCGUGAAAGUCCGGGGCUCAACUCCGGAUCUGCGGUGGGUACGGGCAGACUAGAGUGAUGUAGGGGAGACUGGAAUUCCUGGUGUAGCGGUGAAAUGCGCAGAUAUCAGGAGGAACACCGAUGGCGAAGGCAGGUCUCUGGGCAUUAACUGACGCUGAGGAGCGAAAGCAUGGGGAGCGAACAGGAUUAGAUACCCUGGUAGUCCAUGCCGUAAACGUUGGGCACUAGGUGUGGGGGACAUUCCACGUUUUCCGCGCCGUAGCUAACGCAUUAAGUGCCCCGCCUGGGGAGUACGGCCGCAAGGCUAAAACUCAAAGGAAAUUGACGGA